GACGAACGCUGGCGGCGUGCCUAAUACAUGCGAGUAGAACGCUGAAGAGAGGAGCUUGCUCUUCUUGGAUGAGUUGCGAACGGGUGAGUAACGCGUAGGUAACCUGCCUUGUAGCGGGGGAUAACUAUUGGAAACGAUAGCUAAUACCGCAUAACAAUGGAUGACCCAUGUCAUUUAUUUGAAAGGGGCAAAUGCUCCACUACAAGAUGGACCUGCGUUGUAUUAGCUAGUAGGUGAGGUAACGGCUCACCUAGGCGACGAUACAUAGCCGACCUGAGAGGGUGAUCGGCCACACUGGGACUGAGACACGGCCCAGACUCCUACGGGAGGCAGCAGUAGGGAAUCUUCGGCAAUGGGGGCAACCCUGACCGAGCAACGCCGCGUGAGUGAAGAAGGUUUUCGGAUCGUAAAGCUCUGUUGUAAGUCAAGAACGAGUGUGAGAGUGGAAAGUUCACACUGUGACGGUAGCUUACCAGAAAGGGACGGCUAACUACGUG
rnacentral:rRNA from 1 species